rnacentral:rRNA from 1 species
CCUACGGGGGGCAGCAGUAGGGAAUCUUUCACAAUGGGCGAAAGCCUGAUGGAGCAACGCCGCGUGCAGGAUGAAGGCCUUCGGGUUGUAAACUGCUUUUAUAAGCGAGAAAUAUGAUGGUAACUUAUGAAUAAGGAUCGGCUAACUACGUGCCAGCAGCCGCGGUAAUACGUAGGGGGCAAGCGUUAUCCGGAUUCACUGGGUGUAAAGGGAGCGUAGACGGCCAUGCAAGCCUGGAGUGAAAGCCCGGGGCCCAACCCCGGGACUGCUCUGGGAACUGUGCGGCUGGAGUGCGGGAGGGGCAG